rnacentral:rRNA from 1 species
AUGGAAGUCGGGUAGACCUGAAGACAGUAACCGCAAGGAGCUGUUUAGGGUAGAACCGGUAACUGGGGCUAAGUCGUAACAAGGUAGCCGUACCGGAAGGUGCGGCUGGAACACCUCCUUU